rnacentral:rRNA from 1 species
AGUGAACGCUGGCGGUAGGCCUAACACAUGCAAGUCGAACGGCAGCACAGUAAGAGCUUGCUCUUACGGUUGGCGAGUGGCGGACGGGUGAGGAAUACAUCGGAAUCUACUUUUUCGUGGGGGAUAACGUAGGGAAACUUACGCUAAUACCGCAUACUACCUACGGGUGAAAGCAGGGGAUCUUCGUACCUUGCGCGAUUGAAUGAGCCGAUGUCGGAUUAGCUAGUUUGCGGGGUAAAGGCCCACCAAGGCGACGAUCCGUAGCUGGUCUGAGAGGAUGAUCGGCCACACUGGAACUGAGACACGGUCCAGACUCCUACGGGAGGCAGCAGUGGGGAAUAUUGGACAAUGGGCGCAAGCCUGAUCCAGCCAUACCGCGUGGGUGAAGAAGGACUUCGGGUUGUAAAGCCCUUUUGUUGGGAAAGAAAAGCAGCAGGUUAAUACCCCGCUGUUCUGACGGUACCCAAAGAAUAAGCACCGGCUAACUUCGUG